rnacentral:rRNA from 1 species
AUGGCGGAGGAACCGUCCGCCAAGCGUCACCAUGGCGAGACUCCGAACAAGAGCAGCAACCACGUCCACGUUCACGUCCCCGGCGAGAAGCACGAGUACACCAAAAUGCUCAAAGGGGUUGAGAUCCACGACAAGGAGACACUGGAGAUCGUCUGCACCGGCAUACCAGACAAGGCUGACGAGGUGAUGAGCAGGCUCAGGAUGAAGGGCAGCGGCUUGUAUCCGAGCUUCAUCGGAGUUGAUGUGGAGUACACCGACGAGGAAGAACCUCCACAGAUGGCGGCAGUCCUGCAGUUGUGCGUCGAGGAACUCUCACCAUUGCCGCUUCCAUUUCCACUGCACACAAACCAAAAACUUCUCUCUCCAAAGCCCACAAUCACCGGAGGAAGGAAAUGGCGGAGGAACCGUCCGCCAAGCGUCAUCAUGCCGAGACGUCGGACAAGAGCAGCAACCUCGUCGACAUUAACGUCCCCGGCGAGAAGCGCGAGUACACAACAACCGUCAAAGGGGUUGAGAUCCACGGCAACGAGAUGCUGGAGAUCGUCUGCACCAGCGUACAAGAAAAGGCCGACGAGGUGA